UCGAUAUUUCCCUCGCUUCCGUUCUCACUCUCUCGGUCUCCCUCGGCUCUCUCUUUCCCUCUCGAUUCGCCACAAGCUGAUGCUUUACCCUCUCACUCUCGUUGUAUAGGGAGCGAAACGACGCCUCCCCUAAAUAUUCAAUUCGUCAACCGACGUCGAGCUCUUCGUCUUCUUCCACCUCACCUGAUUCGGACUUCGAGUUCGUUGGCUUUCACGAUUUUAGGUAACAGAACCGGCGCGAAUGAAGCAAGCGGCUUUCCAAUUACUUCUUUUGCUUCGUCCUCUUCGACUUCACGGCUGUUUUCUUUAGGGAACUCAUCUCUAGUACUGAAAGGUUGGAGACUUUAGGCAGUGGUGAAAUUCUUCUCUACGACGGAUUGAUGUAUGCAUUGUGUAUCGUUUCAGACAUUGCAAUUCUAUUGCACAGUUUUCUACAUUGCAUAGUUUUUUACCUUGCAUAUUUUUCUAUCUUAUAGUUUUCUACGUUGUAGUUUUCUACCUUGGGUUUUAAUUUAUGUGUGAUUUUAUUUAGUUAACCAAAUUAGAAUGGAAGCUCCUACUAAUCAUACUUCAACUACUAGUUAAUAUACAAAGAGGAUGCAAUGCCAGUUGUUGAAGAACAAAAUAUAUCAUUUAAUCAUUCAGGACAUUGUGCCUUAGAGAAUGAAGGAGAUGUAUGCGACAUAAUCGGGCUUGAUCAAUCAGAUGCAUUUGGGUUUGAACAUUUUUUUGAAGCCAGACCUGGAGACUCAACUUAUUUGGAUAGAUUUGAUGAUGCUAAUUUAGAAGAUCUUUGAUUUUGCUCUUGUGAAAUUAUUGAAAAUUUGAAACUAUUGAAAUGAGAAAGUGAAUAUGUUUUCUUUUUGUUAUCAGUUGGUAUAAAGUA